AAUUAUAAAUAGAUAAAAUCUUUGAUACAUGCAAAGUGGAGGAAAUAUGACUAAUAUUAUCAAAUUUGUUAAGGUUAUGAUUUACUUUCUUUCUAUAUUUCUUAUUUCAACGUACUUUAAAGUAAAAUUGAGUUGUUUUGAGGAUUCUGAUUGCCCAUAUGAUAUGUGUUAUGCUGGUUUUCAACCAAAGUGUGUGAAUGGUUGGUGUGACUGUUAGAGAAUUCAGCCAUGAAUUCAAUGAGUAGCAACUUAAGAGAGUACACACUGCCAUGAACGUUGUAUUUUUGAUGAUGGUAAUGAAAUGAGAUGAAAUAAAAAAACAAAAUAAAUUUUUCUUGA